GACGAACGCUGGCGGCGUGCCUAAUACAUGCAAGUAGAACGCUGAAGGAGGAGCUUGCUUCUCUGGAUGAGUUGCGAACGGGUGAGUAACGCGUAGGUAACCUGCCUGGUAGCGGGGGAUAACUAUUGGAAACGAUAGCUAAUACCGCAUAAUAGCAGUUAUUGCAUGAUAACUGUUUGAAAGGUGCAAUUGCACCACUACCAGAUGGACCUGCGUUGUAUUAGCUAGUUGGUGGGGUAACGGCUCACCACGGCGACGAUACAUAGCCGACCUGAGAGGGGGGUCGGCCACACUGGGACUGAGACACGGCCCAGACUCCUACGGGAGGCAGCAGUAGGGAAUCUUCGGCAAUGGACGGAAGUCUGACCGAGCAACGCCGCGUGAGUGAAGAAGGUUUUCGGAUCGGAAAGCUCGGUUGUAAGAGAAGAACGAGUGUGAGAGUGGAAAGUUCACACUGUGACGGUAUCUUACCAGAAAGGGACGGCUAACUACGUG
rnacentral:rRNA from 1 species